rnacentral:lncRNA from 1 species
AAAUGAGGCUAGGGAGGGGGCUGGGGAAGGAGGAAGCACUGUGUAUGUCAGGUUACAAUGUUUGUACUUCCGUUUCUAUUCUUAUUCACAAUGAAAAUGUGUUAUCUGUAUUCGUUUCCUGUGGCUGCUGUAACAAGUUACCACAAACUGGAUGGCUCGACACAAUAGGAAUUGAUUCUUUCACAGUAGUCGAGGCCAGAAGUUCAAAAUCAAGGUGUUGGCAGGGUUGGUUCCUACUGGAGGCUGUAAGGGAGAACCUGCUCCGCUCACGUUACCUUAAUUACAUCUGCAAAGACUCUAUUUUCAAAUAAGGUCACAUCAUCAUCACCAGGAGUUAGGACGUGAACCUAUCUUUUGGGGGAACACAGUGUAACCCACAACACCAUCCUUGACGCCAAUUAUUGGCUGGCCAGUGCCUGAGGACGCCAGGGGCCUCAGCUGUUGCUGGGAGAGGGCUCAGGAGCGCGAUCGGAAGCAGGGUGAGGCACUGCCUCACUUGGUAAGCACAAGGGGUCAGGGAGUUCCCUUUCCUAGUCAAAGAAAGGGGUGACAGAUGGCACCUGGAAAAUCGGGUCACUCCCACUCGAAUACUGCGCUUUUCCGACGGGCUUAAAAAACGGCGCACCAGGAGAUUAUAUCCCACACCUGGCUCAGAGGGUCCUACGCCCAGGGAGUCUCGCUGAUUGCUAGCACAGCAGUCUGAGAUUAAACGGCAAGGUGGCAGUGAGGCUGGGGGAGGGGCUUCUGGGGGCAGGGCACAGACAAACGAAAAGACAGCAGUAACCUCUGCAGAAUUAAAUGUCCCUGUCUGACAGCUUUGAAGAGAGCAGUGGUUCUCCCAGCAUGCAGCUGGAGAUCUGAGAAUGGGCAGACUGCCUCCUCAAAUGGGUCCCUGACCCCUGACCCCUGAGCAGCCUAACUGGGAGGCACCCCCCAGUAGGGGCAGACUGACAACUCAUACAGCUGGGUACUCCUCUGAGACAAAACUUCCAGAGGAACAAUCAGACAGCAGCAUUCGCGGUUCAUGAAAAACCACUGUUCUGCAGACACCGCCGCUGAUACCCAGGCAAACAGGGUCUGGAGUGGACCUCUAGCAAACUCCAACAGACCUGCAGCUGAGGGUCCUGUCUGUUAGAAGGAAAACUAACAAACAGAAAGGACAUCCACACCAAAAACCCAUCUGUACAACACCAUCAUCAAAGACCAAAAGUAGAUAAAACCACAAAGAUGGGGAAAAAACAGAGCAGAAAAACUGGAAACUCUAAAAAGCAGAGCA